rnacentral:rRNA from 1 species
GAUGAACGCUGGCGGCGUGCCUAAUACAUGCAAGUCGAACGCUGGAGAUCUAGCUUGCUAGAUCGAAGGAGUGGCGAACGGGUGAGUAAUACAUGAGCAACCUACCCACGAAGACUGGGAUAAUCUCUGGAAACGGGGACUAAUACCGGAUAGGUAAUCGGAAGGCAUCUUCUGGUUAUUAAAGGUUAAAAACACUGGUGGAUGGGCUUAUGGCGCAUUAGUUAGUUGGUGAGGUAACGGCCCACCAAGACGAUGAUGCGUAGCCGGCCUGAGAGGGUGAACGGCCACAUUGGGACUGAGACACGGCCCAGACUCCUACGGGAGGCAGCAGUAGGGAAUUUUCGGCAAUGGGGGCAACCCUGACCGAGCAACGCCGCGUGAGUGAAGACGGCCUUCGGGUUGUAAAGCUCUGUUGUAAGGGAAGAACGGUAGAUAGAGAAUAUCUAAGUGACGGUACCUUACCAGAAAGCCACGGCUAACUACGUG